UGAGUAACGCGUGGGUAGCCUGCCCUAAAGCCCGGGAUAACACCGGGAAACUGGUGCUAACACCGGAUACCUUCCGAAGAGGGCAUCCUUUUUGGAAGAAAGGUUAACGCUUUAGGAUGGGCCCGCGUCCCAUUAGCUAGUUGGUGAGGUAACGGCUCACCAAGGCAGUGAUGGGUAGCCGGCCUGAGAGGGUGGACGGCCACACUGGGACUGAGACACGGCCCAGACUCCUACGGGAGGCAGCAGUAGGGAAUAUUGCGCAAUGGGCGAAAGCCUGACGCAGCGACGCCGCGUGGGUGAUGAAGGCCUUCGGGUUGUAAAACCCUGUCCUUGGGGAAGAAGGAAGUGACGGUACCCAAGGAGGAAGCCCCGGCUAACUACGUGCCAGCAGCCGCGGUAAAACGUAGGGGGCGAGCGUUGUCCGGAAUUACUGGGCGUAAAGGGUGCGUAGGCGGCCUUUUAAGUCAGAUGUGAA
rnacentral:rRNA from 1 species